CACGUAGGGCGCAAGCGUUGUCCGGAAUUAUUGGGCGUAAAGAGUUCGUAGGCGGUCUGUUACGUCUGCUGUGAAAACCCGGGGCUUAACCCUGGGCUUGCAGUGGAUACGGGCAGACUAGAGGCAGGUAGGGGAGAAUGGAAUUCCCGGUGUAGCGGUGAAAUGCGCAGAUAUCGGGAGGAACACCGGUGGCGAAGGCGGUUCUCUGGGCCUGACCUGACGCUGAGGAGCGAAAGCGUGGGGAGCGAACAGG
rnacentral:rRNA from 1 species